GAUGAACGCUGGCGGCGUGCCUAAUAUAUGCAAGUCGAGCGAAUGGAUUAAGAGCUUGCUCUUAUGAAGUUAGCGGCGGACGGGUGAGUAACACGUGGGUAACCUGCCCAUAAGACUGGGAUAACUCCGGGAAACCGGGGCUAAUACCGGAUAACAUUUUGAACCGCAUGGUUCGAAAUUGAAAGGCGGCUUCGGCUGUCACUUAUGGAUGGACCCGCGUCGCAUUAGCUAGUUGGGGAGGUAACGGCUCACCAAGGCAACGAUGCGUAGCCGACCUGAGGGGGUGAUCGGCCACACUGGGACUGAGCAGCGGCCCAGACUCCUACGGGAGGCAGCAGUAGGGAAUCUUCCGCAAUGGACGAAAGUCUGACGGGGCAACGCCGCGUGAGUGAUGAAGGCUUUCGGGUCGUAAAACUCUGUUGUUAGGGAAGAACAAGUGCUAGUUGAAUAAGCUGGCACCUUGACGGUACCUAACCAGAAAGCCACGGCUAACUACGUGCCAGCCGCCGCGGUAA
rnacentral:rRNA from 1 species